UAAUAAGUGUUUUAUGGCACUUUUUUAAAUCCAUAUCCACCUUGUGUGCAAUGUCAGUCGAUCUUCUUCAUGGAGAUCGACCAAACAUCAACCUUUAUCUUUUUAACAUCUUUGUCUGAAAAAUAUUAUGAAUAAACAAUUCAAAAUA
rnacentral:misc_RNA from 1 species